UAACAACACACAACAUUCCAGGAAUGUACUACCAAAGUUCUAUCAAUAUUUGAAUGUCCUGGACAUUUAGGGAACAUUCGGUGAACAUCUGUUUAAAUUAUUCCUGGAAUGUUACCAUAAGACAUUCUGUGAACAUACUACCAAUGUUCCUAUAUUUUAAGUUGCGAAAUAAUACAUACGUGUAACAGAUACAACAUUACUUAUAACAUACCAGACAAACUAAGUGACACUUUAGGCCUACAGUGCAAUAAUAUGUCAAAUUUAAAGAGUUUCCCAAGUUCAAUUAAUACAAUAUUAUAAACAUACAAAUGUAAUAAAAAUUAUUGUUCGCGAAUAUUCAAUUUGGAAUGCGAUUUUGUUAAUAAAAAAAAAUACUUAUAACUUAUGCAAAACCCAAGAGAGGCAUUUAUAUUUAUUUCUUUUGCGUUCAUUUUCAAAUUCGCCGUGCAUAUAUUUUUGUGCAUGGCGCUUGAGAGGGCAUCACGUGACUAAAAACGACCAACCAACGACCUCGCUUCGGCCAUCUUGGCAUCUUCAUCUUGGCCACCUUGCUUUGCCGUGGGUGGAUCGUUGUUUGUAUUAUUUAUUGUGCUUUUUAAGAAUAUUUUUUUAAUUCGGAUACUUUUAUAAUAGCUUUAAUAGUAUUAUUAACAUAGUGAAUAAAAUGGUGUCCUGUUUUUAACGCAGUUGGAGUAGCAGAAACAAAUGUAGAUAAAAAAAUCUGCAGGAAUAACGUUUCAAUUAUGACAGAAGCUCCAAACAAAUGACUGUGAAUGAAAAGCCCUAUUAAAAGCUUUCCAGAAGAUCCUGCGAAGAAGACAUGAAGUAUAGAUCAGAUUUGUUAAUAGAGGAGUAUGUUCAAAACACUUUUUAGAAAAAGAUAUUGACAGAACUUCACUUUCAUCUGUUCGUUUAAGAGACUGUGCUGUUCCAAUAGCUUAUGUCACACAGAAUCAGCUGAGAGAAGUGGUCUACAGAAAACCAGAAAGGAAACGGAAUAUGUGGCUACGAAAAGCAAAAGAAAGGUUUACAAAGCAAAUGUGACACAUUUUUUUAUAAUAUUUAGGAAUGUCAGUAAAUUACAUUAAAAAAUGUAUGUAAAGAUUUUUUGCAAUAAAAAUGUUUAUAUUUAUCAAGGAUGUAUUAUUUGGUAUGGCCACAUAUCGUCAGUGAUGUG